CAUGUUUAUCAUCCUAGAGGGAGAUCAUAUCUUUCUCAUAUUUUUUAUGUGAAUGAUUGCUUUCUCUGUGCCUGAGCUAUGACUAGAAAUGCUAUUGUUCUUACUGCUAUCGUUGAUGCCUAUUGUCAAUAUUCUGAUUAACCAGUUAGUCAUAAUAAAUCUUCUAUUCAUUUUUCACCUUUUGUUUCCUCUGCUAUGACAGAGUCCAUCUUAUAUCUUUUGUAUUUUUUUUUGUCCGUUGCCUUGGACUUAUCUUGGUAUCUCUUUGUCCCCAAACACUUUAAGAAUUACUUAAUGUAAAUAUUUUAUAAAUAAGGUUUCAUCAAAAAUUGCUGCUUGGAAAUGACGCACGUUGUCCUUUGCUGGCAGAGCUACACUUGUUCAAUCUGUGUUAUUAGUUUUGCCAACUUAUAUUUUAAGUAUUGUGCAUCUUCUGCUUAUACUUUUAAAUCAAAUGGAAAAGGAACUUAGAGCUUUUUUAUGGGGACAUUCAAUGGAUACUAGAGGAUUUCAUCAUAUUGCUUGGGAUAAGAUUUGUUUAUCAAAAGCAAAUGGAGGUCUUGGUUUCACAUCUUUAAGCGAUGUAUUAGGAGGUUGGCAGCUUUCCUUAUCUUAUAUUCUAACUCAUUAUGGGCAAGAUUAAUUAAGGCUAAAUAUUAUUUUUUCGGCUCCUGGAUGAGAUACUCCCCACUGAAAUCUAGCUUAGCCAUCUGGAAGAAAAUUUGUACGGAAGGGAUCAAUGUGCAAUUCUACUUUCAGUACAUGAUAGGGUCUAGACAUAAUAUUAAUAUUUAUACUGAUCUUUGGAUUUCUACAUGUCCUUUGUAAUGGCGGCCAAUAUUUGUUAAUAUGGAUUCUAAUAUUUAUCAAAAAAAUCUUUCUGAAUAUAUUGACAAUUCUCGUUUGUGGUUAAUUGAAAAUUUGUCUCAGCUCUUAUCUAAUGAUCUUUUCCACCAGGUACUUGAAAUACCUCUUUUGGUGUCAACAAAUGAGGACAUUUUAGUUUAGGGACCAUCAAAGCUUCCUCAUAUUUCCCUUAAAGAUAUGUCUUUUAUGGACGAGCAACCGAAUUUGCAUGAAUAUGGCCAUCUUUUCAAGCUUAUUUGAACAUUUUCAUUUACUGGUCCCAAUUGCAAGAGUUUCAACUGGCUCACAUAUAUAGAGAGGAAAAUCAAAUGGUAGAUUAUUUGGCUACUAAGGUCAGAUCGGAUGAUUUUCAAUGGAAUGGUCUCAAUGAGGUUGACUCACAUUGCUUAAUAUCUUCUUAGUGUAGACAGAUAUGGAGUUCUAUAUUAACGGAGGGGAUGAAGGACAUGGAGGCUAUGCAUACAACCCUACACAAAUUGCCUCCUCUAGGCAACAUCAGUCUAAUUGCUUUGUGUUGCAUUGCUUUUAAGGUCGGUUUGUAUAGUUUUCCAGUGCUAAUAUCUUAUUUAUACAGGAAUAUCACCAAAGUCUUGGGGAGCCACAUCUUCAAAUCACCAGCUACAUUAUUGUGGUGGAAGUUCAACGUUUAGAGGGGAUUUUAUAUGAUAUUCAAUAAAUAUCUGAGGGCUAGAAGAAAAAGAG